UUCCGGUUGAUCCUGCCGGACCCGACUGCUAUCGGAUUGGGAUUUAGCCAUGUUAGUUGUGCGUUCCUUGGCUACAGGGGACGCGGCGUACGGCUCAGUAACACGUAGUCAACCUGCCCUGGAGACGCGGACAAACCCGGGAAACUGGGGCCUAUCCGCGAUAGAUGGCCUCAUCUGGAAGGAGAGGCCGUCCAAAAGGGCGCACGGGUAUGCUCUGUGCGAACCGCUCCAGGAUGGGACUGCGGCCGAUCAGGCUGUUGGCGGGGCAAUGGCCCACCAAACCUGUAACCGGUACGGGCUUUGAGAGAAGGAGCCCGGAGAUGGACACUGAGACAAGGGUCCAGGCCCUACGGGGCGCAUCAGGCGCGAAAACUUCGCAAUGCGCGAAAGCGUGACGAGGCUAGUCCGAGUGCCGCCUGCUAAAGGUGGCUUUUCUCGGCUGUAAAUAGGCCGGGGAAUAAGGGGAGGGCAAGUCUGGUGUCAGCCGCCGCGGUAAUACCAGCUCCUCGAGUGGUCGGGACGAUUAUUGGGCCUAAAGCACCCGUAGCCGGUUUCGUAAGUCCUCUGUUAAAUCCAGUCGCUCAACGACUGGCCUGCAGAGGAUACUGCGGGACUAGGAGGCGGGAGAGGCGGACGGUACUCCGCGUGUAGGGGUAAAAUCCUUUGAUCCGCGGAAGACCACCAGUGGCGAAGGCGGUCCGCCAGAACGCGCUCGACGGUGAGGGGUGAAAGCUGGGGGAGCGAACCGGAUUAGAUACCCGGGUAGUCCCAGCCGUAAACGAUGCGAGCUAGAUGAUUCGAUCGCAGUUCGCGAUCGAAGUGUCGCAGGGAAGCCGUUAAGCUCGCCGCCUGGGGAGUACGGUCGCAAGGCUGAAACUUAAAGGAAUUGGCGGGGGAGCACCACAAGGGGUGAAGCCUGCGGUUCAAUUGGAGUCAACGCCGGG
rnacentral:rRNA from 1 species